rnacentral:tRNA from 1 species
GGGGUUGUAGCUCAGUGGUAGAGUGGCUUGCUUAACACACAUGAGGCACUGGGUUCAAUCCUCAGCUCCA